GGUUAACGCUGGCGGCGUGCCUUACACAUGCAAGUCGAGGGGCAGCACGGGUAGCAAUACCUGGUGGCGACCGGCGCAAGGGUGCGUAACGCGUGAGCAACAUGCCCUAUACAGGGGGAUAAUCCAGGGAAACUUGGUCUAAUAUCCCAUAGUAUUUAGAGGAGGCAUCUUCUAUAAAUUAAAGCUUCGGUGGUAUAGGAUUGGCUCGCGUGACAUUAGCUAGAUGGUGAGGUAACGGCUCACCAUGGCAAUGAUGUCUAGGGGUUCUGAGAGGAAGGCCCCCCACACUGGGACUGAGACACGGCCCAGACUCCUACGGGAGGCAGCAGUGAGGAAUAUUGGACAAUGGAUGGAAAUCUAGAUCCAGCCAUGCCGCGUGCAGGAAGACAGCCCUAUGGGUUGUAAACUGCUUUUAUAUGGGAGCAAUAAGGUCUACGUGUAGACUGAUGAGAGUACCAUAUGAAUAGCAUCGGCUAA
rnacentral:rRNA from 1 species